UUAAUACUAUUAAGAAGAAGAAAUCGGGAGGAACAGAUGCAACUGCAAGGCUUCUCCUCGAACAAAGCAUUUCUCGUGGCUCUCUGUGCUAUCUCUCAUCAUUUUUCCUUCUGCACCGAGGCAUCAUCAACGCAACCACUGCAGUGACCACCGCGACUAAUAGCGCCGUCACUUGAUAUAAAAAAGGACAAAAUUUUCGCUCCAGAAUUUAAGUUCCUGAUUCUAUCCUCGUGCAGUGGAAAGAUCAACACCACCAAAAUUCAUUGAUCGAUUGAUUGAUCGUUCGCUAUUAGGCGUUGAUUUUUGUCAGUUAUAAUCAUGGAGAUGAGGCCAAAUCCCAUAGUCGAUAACUCGCCUCAGCAUCAGCGCCAUGCACCUGCGACUCCAUCGAAGCAGCCAGCUGCUCCUCCUAACGCCGUCGAUACUUCCUCCGUUUGUCAAAGGUUACAGAAGGAAUUGAUGUCUCUCAUGAUGAGCGGAGGGGAUCUUGGUGUGUCGGCAUUCCCUGAAGGUGAAUGCAUUUUCACAUGGAUUGGCACAAUUGAGGGUGGAAAAGGAACUGUGUAUGAGGGUUUGUCAUAUAAGCUUUCUUUGCGUUUUCCUCUGGACUAUCCCUUUAAACCACCACAAGUCAAAUUUGAGACAAUUUGCUUUCAUCCAAAUGUUGAUCAGUAUGGCAACAUAUGCUUAGACAUACUCCAGGAGAAGUGGUCUUCAGCAUAUGAUUGCAGAACCAUUCUUUUGUCCAUUCAGAGUCUAUUGGGAGAACCUAAUCCAGACAGUCCCCUCAACAGCUAUGCUGCAAGAUUGUGGAAUAAUAAGGAAGACUACAAGAAAAUGGUCUACAAACAGUACUAUGCUGGAGAAGUAUUGGAGAGCUGAUCUGAAUUCUUGUCACAGAUGACAUCUGAAUUGUUAAACUGCCACGGCUUUGCUUCUAAUUGUUCCUUGAAGUCUCCAGUUAUACAAGAAGGUUGGUUGAGGUUGACUAUGAUUUACUUUCAUCCAUUCUCUCCCAAUAAUCCAGUAGCAACAUAUGAGGGGCAUAUUUCCCCUAAAGAAGUGUCUGCAUGAUGAAAAUUAUCAUGUUAUUUUUCUAACUAAACCUCCCUGCACACCAUAACCUCAACCAUUAUAUACAAGUUCUAUGUGGCUAUCCUUUUAGGGUUCAUCGCAAAAGAGUUAUCAAUUUAGUGCUGUUUGUGGAGAUAACAGUAUUGUUUCUGUUAGUUUUGAAAGCUAAAAUGCUCAUCUUCAAUGUUGAAGCAACGAUGCGGCCCUCUGAAAAUCAUGGGAAAAGCCAAGUGAAUUUUCCUAUGAAUUCCAUCUAGUGGGAAGAAAAACUACCAAAUUUUUGUUCUUUAUUUAAGACUAUGCAAAUUCACAUAAUCCUUUUAUAACAAUAGCUAAAUAUAUAUUUGUACCUUUAAAAUUUACUUAAAAAAAGUAAAAAAUAUCAACAUAUAUU